rnacentral:rRNA from 1 species
AUUGAACGCUGGCGGCAUGCCUUACACAUGCAAGUCGAACGGCAGCACGGGUGCUUGCACCUGGUGGCGAGUGGCGAAAGGGUGAGUAAUACAUCGGAACAUGUCCUGUAGUGGGGGAUAGCCCGGCGAAAGCCGGAUUAAUACCGCAUACGAUCCACGGAUGAAAGCGGGGGACCUUCGGGCCUCGCGCUAUAGGGUUGGCCGAUGGCUGAUUAGCUAGUUGGUGGGGUAAAGGCCUACCAAGGCGACGAUCAGUAGCUGGUCUGAGAGGACGACCAGCCACACUGGGACUGAGACACGGCCCAGACUCCUACGGGAGGCAGCAGUGGGGAAUUUUGGACAAUGGGCGAAAGCCUGAUCCAGCAAUGCCGCGUGUGUGAAGAAGGCCUUCGGGUUGUAAAGCACUUUUGUCCGGAAAGAAAUCCUUGGCUCUAAUACAGUCGGGGGAUGACGGUACCGGAAGAAUAAGCACCGGCUAACUACGUG